rnacentral:rRNA from 1 species
CCUACGGGCGGCUGCAGUGGGGAAUAUUGGACAAUGGGGGGAACCCUGAUCCAGCCAUGCCGCGUGUGUGAAGAAGGCCCUCAGGUUGUAAAGCACUUUCAGUGAGGAAGAACGCCUGGUGGUUAAUACCCAUCAGGAAAGACAUCACUCACAGAAGAAGCACCGGCUAACUCCGUGCCAGCAGCCGCGGUAAUACGGAGGGUGCGAGCGUUAAUCGGAAUUACUGGGCGUAAAGCGCGCGUAGGUGGCUUGAUAAGCCGGUUGUGAAAGCCCCGGGCUCAACCUGGGAACGGCAUCCGGAACUGUCAAGCUAGAGUGCAGGAGAGGAAGGUAGAAUUCCCGGUGUAGCGGUGAAAUGCGUAGAGAUCGGGAGGAAUACCAGUGGCGAAGGCGGCCUUCUGGACUGACACUGACACUGAGGUGCGAAAGCGUGGGUAGCAAACAGGAUUAGAUACCCUAGUAGUC